GACAGAGGGUGCAAACGUUGUUCGGAAUUACUGGGCGUAAAGGGUGCGUAGGCGGCGCGGUAAGUCGGGUGUGAAAUCUUGGAGCUUAACUCCGAAACUGCAUUCGAUACUGCCGUGCUUGAGGACUGGAGAGGAGAGUGGAAUUCCCGGUGUAGCGGUGAAAUGCGCAGAUAUCGGGAAGAACACCCGUGGCGAAGGCGGCUCUCUGGGACGGUACGUGACGCUGAGACGGCGAAAGCGUGGGGAGCGAACAGG
rnacentral:rRNA from 1 species